rnacentral:tRNA from 1 species
AGCAGAGUGGCGCAGCGGAAGCGUGCUGGGCCCAUAACCAAGAGGUCGAUGGUUCGAAACCAUCCUCUGCUA